GACGAACGCUGGCGGCGUGCUAAACACAUGCAAGUCGAACGGUAAGGCCCUUCGGGGUACACGAGUGGCGAACGGGUGAGUAACACGUGGGUGAUCUGCCCUGCACUUCGGGAUAAGCCUGGGAAACUGGGUCUAAUACCGGAUAGGACCACUGCCUGCAUGGGUGGUGGUGGAAAGCUUUUGCGGUGUGGGAUGGGCCCGCAGCCUAUCAGCUUGUUGGUGGGGUGAUGGCCUACCAAGGCGACGACGGGUAGCCGGCCUGAGAGGGUGACCGGCCACACUGGGACUGAGAUACGGCCCAGACUCCUACGGGAGGCAGCAGUGGGGAAUAUUGCACAAUGGGCGCAAGCCUGAUGCAGCGACGCCGCGUGAGGGAUGACGGCCUUCGGGUUGUAAACCUCUUUCAGCACCGACGAAGCGCAAGUGACGGUAGGUGCAGAAGAAGGACCGGCCAACUACGUGCCAGCCGCCGCAGUAAUAC
rnacentral:rRNA from 1 species